UGGGGAAUUUUCCGCAAUGGGCGAAAGCCUGACGGAGCAAGACCGCGUGGGGGAAGAAGGCUCUUGGGUUGUAAACCCCUUUUCUCUGGGAAGAACGCAAUGACGGUACCAGAGGAAUCAGCAUCGGCUAACUCCGUGCCAGCAGCCGCGGUAAGACGGAGGAUGCAAGCGUUAUCCGGAAUGAUUGGGCGUAAAGCGUCCGCAGGUGGCAGUUCAAGUCUGCUGUCAAAGACCGGGGCUUAACCUCGGAAAGGCAGUGGAAACUGAACAGCUAGAGUAUGGUAGGGGCAAAGGGAAUUCCUGGUGUAGCGGUGAAAUGCGUAGAGAUCAGGAAGAACAUCGGUGGCGAAGGCGCUUUGCUGGACCAUAACUGACACUCAGGGACGAAAGCUAGGGGAGCGAAUGGGAUUAGAUACCCCAGUAGUC
rnacentral:rRNA from 1 species